GCCUGGGUGGCUCAGUCGGUUAAGCGUCUGACUUCAGCUCAGGUCAUGAUCUCACGGUUCGUGGGUUCGAGCCCUGCAUCGGGCU
rnacentral:tRNA from 1 species